AUGGGGAAUUGAAAGAGAAGAUCUACAUGAUGCCGCCUGAAGGAUUUGAAUC
rnacentral:sRNA from 1 species